GAGUUUGAUCCUGGCUCAGAGUGAACGCUGGCGGCAGGCCUAAUACAUGCAAGUCGAACGGCAGCACAGCAGAGCUUGCUCUGUGGUGGCGAGUGGCGGACGGGUGAGGAAUACGUGGGAAUCUGCCCAGUCGUGGGGGAUAACGUAGGGAAACUUACGCUAAUACCGCAUGCGCCCUUCGGGGGAAAGCCGGGGACCUUCGGGCCUGGCGCGAUUGGAUGAGCCCACGUCGGAUUAGCUAGUUGGCGGGUAAAGGCCCACCAAGGCGACGAUCCGUAGCUGGUCUGAGAGGAUGAUCAGCCACACUGGAACUGAGACACGGUCCAGACUCCUACGGGAGGCAGCAGUAGGGAAUAUUGGACAAUGGGCGCAAGCCUGAUCCAGCCAUGCCGCGUGAGUGAAGAAGGCCCUCGGGUUGUAAAGCUCUUUUGUCCGGAAAGAAAAGCGCCGGGUUAAUACCCUGGUGUCCUGACGGUACCGGAAGAAUAAGCACCGGCUAACUUCGUG
rnacentral:rRNA from 1 species